rnacentral:rRNA from 1 species
UACGAAGGGGGCUAGCGUUGUUCGGAAUUACUGGGCGUAAAGCGCACGUAGGCGGGUUGUUAAGUCAGGGGUGAAAUCCCGGAGCUCAACUCCGGAACUGCCUUUGAUACUGGCAAUCUAGAGACUGGAAGAGGUUAGUGGAAUUCCCAGUGUAGAGGUGAAAUUCGUAGAUAUUUGGGAAGAACACCAGUGGCGAAGGCGGCUAACUGGUCCAGUACUGACGCUGAGGUGCGAAAAGCGUGGGGAGCAAACA